rfam:Aspergillus parasiticus ST-1 186, whole genome shotgun sequence.
CAUCAAAGCCUUCAAUCCAAGUUACAAAACCACUUCGAGAAACCUCUCCAAACUUUCCAACUCCGUCAAAAUGUCUCCCUGCUCUUGCAACUGCUGCAGCGGUAACUGCGCUAGCUGCUCCUGCUCCUCCUGCAGCGUAAGUAGCC